UCUGGGGGACCAAGAAGGCUGUGUCUAAUAAAAUAUGACUUCUGAUACAUUCCCCCUAGAUAAAAGGGUUAGAGAGAACAGCCCUCAUUGGAGAAAAGUCUCAGGGCUGACUGUCCUACCAAACAUUC